rnacentral:tRNA from 1 species
AGUUAAUGAGCUUGUAAUAAGCUUAUAUUUUGAAAAUAUAAGAAAGAGAUUAUAAUUCUCUAUUAACUU